GACGAACGCUGGCGGCGUGCUUAACACAUGCAAGUCGUACGGUAAGGCCCUUUCGGGGGUACACGAGUGGCGAACGGGUGAGUAACACGUGAGUAACCUGCCCACAACUUUGGGAUAACGCUAGGAAACUGGUGCUAAUACUGGAUAUGUGCUCCUGCUGCAUGGUGGGGGUUGGAAAGCUCCGGCGGUUGUGGAUGGACUCGCGGCCUAUCAGCUUGUUGGUGGGGUAGUGGCCUACCAAGGCGGCGACGGGUAGCCGGCCUGAGAGGGUGACCGGCCACAUUGGGACUGAGGUACGGCCCAGACUCCUACGGGAGGCAGCAGUGGGGAAUAUUGCACAAUGGGCGCCAGGCUGAUGCAGCAACGCCGCGUGCGGGAUGACGGCCUUCGGGUUGUAAACCGCUUUCAGCAGGGACGAAGCUUUUUGUGACGGUACCUGCAGAAGAAGCACCGGCUAACUACGUG
rnacentral:rRNA from 1 species